GCGCCAUUCCCCGGGCUUUGCCAGAAGCUGCGCUACAGAGUACGGUCCAGUUCCCUGCGAAGUGUUCUUUGAAAUUCGCAACCAGUUCCUUCAAGUUAUCCUCAUGUGUGGCGGGUUGUUUACUAUUAGCACCACCUGGGAAUCCCGCUUAUCAACAAGCUUGACAGGAAAAGUUAGCUGUACUAUUCUCAUUGUUGGCCUCCAGGUGGCAGCAGUCACUAGGGACAUGCCCUUGGAUGUUCUGCACCUACUCCAGGCUCCCCAGGUGAUGCCAACCUGCACGUGGGAUGAAGACCCUAAGCCACUGGAUUGUAUCCCAGACUACAUUUCCCAGAAACCUCAACGGACACUUCCGUUUCCGGCCUCGUCAGUCUUCGUUUGAGUGGAGCGCGGCAUCCGCUUGCUUCUGGGUUUCGGCGGCUGUGUAGUGUGGCAUGUGAAAUCUUAGUUCCCUGACCAGGGAUCGAACCCAUGCCCCCUGCAGUGGAAGGGCAGAAUCUUAAUCACUGGACCGGCAAGGAAGUCCCUAUCCUUACAUUUUAAUCUUUUUUCUGUUUUGGUGUUUUCCAAUGUUACCUUCCUAACUUUGCAACUUCUUAGAUGCUCCUUACAUUCUUUAAAUACAAUAUAUGCUUUUAAAAUUAAUUAAUUUUAUUUUCAGCUGUGCUGGGUCUUCAUUG